GAUUUCCUACGGGGGGCAGCAGUGGGGAAUUUUGGACAAUGGGCGCAAGCCUGAUCCAGCUAUUCCGCGUGUGGGAUGAAGGCCCUCGGGUUAUAAACCACUUUUGUAGAGAACGAAAAGACACCUUCGAAUAAAGGGUGUUGCUGACGGUACUCUAAGAAUAAGCACCGGCUAACUACGUGCCAGCAGCCGCGGUAAUACGUAGGGUGCGAGCGUCAAUCGGAAUUACUGGGCGUAAAGGGUGCGCAGGCGGUUGAGUAAGACAGAUGGGAAAUCCCCGAGCUUAACUCGGGAAUGGCAUAUGG
rnacentral:rRNA from 1 species